rnacentral:rRNA from 1 species
CCAGACUCCUACGGGAGGCAGCAGUGGGGGAUAUUGGACAAUGGGGGGAACCCUGAUCCAGCGACGCCGCGUGAGUGAAGAAGUAUUUCGGUAUGUAAAGCUCUGUCAGCAGGGAAGAAAGAAAUGACGGUACCUGACCAAGAAGCCCCGGCUAACUACGUGCCAGCAGCCGCGGUAAUACGUAGGGGGCAAGCGUUAUCCGGAAUUACUGGGUGUAAAGGGAGCGUAGACGGUUAAGUAAGUCUGGAGUGAAAGGCCGGGGCCCAACCCCGGGACUGCUCUGGAAACUAUUCAACUUGAGUGCAGGAGAGGUAAGCGGAAUUCCUAGUGUAGCGGUGAAAUGCGUAGAUAUUAGGAGGAACAUCGGUGGCGUAAGCGCUUUACUGGGCCGUAAUUGACACUGAGGAACGAAAGCCAGGGUAGCAAAUGGGAUUAGAUACCCGAGUA